UUCAAGCGAUUCUCCUGCCUCAGCCUCCUGAGUAGCUGGGAUUACAGGCAUGUGCAACCACGCCUGGCUAAUUUUGUAUUUUUAGUAGAGACAAGGUUUCUCCAUGUUGGUGAGGCUGGUCUUGAACUCCUGACCUCUGCAGCCUGCUUGAAUUCCUCCCCAGAAAAUGCGUUUUCUUUUCUACACAUGGUCAGGCUGCAAAUUUUCCAAACCUUUAUUCUUUGCUUCCCUUUUAUCCAUUUUCUCAUCCACUCCCAUUCUGAGCCUCUUGUAACCAUCAUUUUGCUCUCUACUUCUGUGAGUUCACCUCUUUUAGAUUCACUUAUAAGUGAGAUCAUGUGGUAUUUGUCUUUCUGUGCCUUGCUUAUUUCAUUU
rnacentral:lncRNA from 10 species